CCUACGGGAGGCUGCAGUGGGGAAUAUUGGACAAUGGGGGCAACCCUGAUCCAGCCAUGCCGCGUGUGUGAAGAAGGCCCUCGGGUUGUAAAGCACUUUCAGUGAGGAAGAACGCCUGGUGGUUAAUACCCAUCAGGAAAGACAUCACUCACAGAAGAAGCACCGGCUAACUCCGUGCCAGCAGCCGCGGUAAUACGGAGGGUGUGAGCGUUAAUCGGAAUUACUGGGCGUAAAGCGCGCGUAGGUGGCUUGAUAAGCCGGUUGUGAAAGCCCCGGGCUCAACCUGGGAACGGCAUCCGGAACUGUCAAGCUAGAGUGCAGGAGAGGAAGGUAGAAUUCCCGGUGUAGCGGUGAAAUGCGUAGAGAUCGGGAGGAAUACCAGUGGCGAAGGCGGCCUUCUGGACUGACACUGACACUGAGGUGCGAAAGCGUGGGUAGCAAACAGGAUUAGAUACCCUGGUAGUC
rnacentral:rRNA from 1 species